GGGGAGGCAGCAGUGGGGAAUAUUGCACAAUGGGGGAAACCCUGAUGCAGCCAUGCCGCGUGUGUGAAGAAGGACCUUCGGGUUGUAAAGCACUUUCAGUAGGGAGGAAGGUAGUGUAGUUAACACCUGCAUUAUUUGACGUUACCUACAGAAGAAGCACCGGCUAACUCCGUGCCAGCAGCCGCGGUAAUACGGAGGGUGCGAGCGUUAAUCGGAAUUACUGGGCGUAAAGCGCAUGCAGGCGGCCUGUUAAGUCAGAUGUGAAAGCCCGGGGCUUAACCUCGGAAUUGCAUUUGAAACUGGCAGGCUAGAGUCUUGUAGAGGGGGGUAGGAAUUUCAGGUGUAGCGGUGAAAUGCGUAGAGAUCUGAAGGAAUACCAGUGGCGAAGGCGGCCCCCUGGACAAAGACUGACGCUCAGAUGCGAAAGCGUGGGGAGCAAACAGGAUUAGAUACCCUGGUAG
rnacentral:rRNA from 1 species